rnacentral:rRNA from 1 species
UACGGAAGGCAGCAGUGGGGAAUAUUGCACAAUGGGCGCAAGCCUGAUGCAGCCAUGCCGCGUGUAUGAAGAAGGCCUUCGGGUUGUAAAGUACUUUCAGUCGUGAGGAAGGUGUUAAGGUUAAUAACCUUAGCAAUUGACGUUAGCGACAGAAGAAGCACCGGCUAACUCCGUGCCAGCAGCCGCGGUAAUACGGAGGGUGCGAGCGUUAAUCGGAAUUACUGGGCGUAAAGGGCACGCAGGCGGUUAAUUAAGUUGGAUGUGAAAUCCCCGGGCUUAACCUGGGAAUGGCAUUCAAGACUGGUUAGCUAGAGUCUUGUAGAGGGGGUAGAAUUCCAUGUGUAGCGGUGAAAUGCGUAGAGAUGUGGAGGAAUACCGGUGGCGAAGGCGGCCCCUGGGACAAAGACUGACGCUCAUGUGCGAAAGCGUGGGGAGCAAACGAGGGAUUAGAU